CCAGCGCUAAAUCCUGCUGCUCUAACGGGUAACGGGAGGUGUAGCGUAUAGCAGGCGAUUUUCCUUGAUGGCUGUCGACUUAAAUUCUCCUUGACUGGGGUUCCAGAGAAGGUGAAAGGCCUGUUCAGUCGAUGUCCGUCUUGGAUUCCGUUCUGCUUGGAGUCGGGUUGUUUGGGAACGCAGCCCAAAUUGGGUGGUAAACUUCAUCUAAGGCUAAAUACGGCCACGAAACCGAUAGCAAACAAGUACCGUGAGGGAAAGUUGAAAAGUACUUUGAAGAGAGAGUUCAAGAGGACGUGAAACCGGUAGGGUGGAAACGGAUAGAGYCAACGAACAAGCCCGUAUUCAGCUAGUCGGCUGCGURCAGCGUGCCUGUGUGCUCGGAUAGRGUGCAUGGGUGKGUGUGGUAUGCGGUUGGCUAGUGCAUUUGCGRGUGAUGUGCGCUGAGGCGUGUAAUGGAGCAAUAUGAACUGUCGRGAGAGGCCUCGCUUCGGCUUGGUACCUACCGGCGGGGAAGGUCGUCUCUGUUGCACGUAGCAUGGUUAGGUACAGACGCKGUGCUGUGCUGCCGGGCURGCGCYUAGGUGAGUCGCAUGCGACGAUCCUGGAUGUUCGGUUUUGGUGGUAUGGUAUUGCCCUGGCCGCCCCUCGGUGUAAAAGUUGGUCAUCUCUCCGACCCGUCUUGAAACACGGACCAAGGAGUCUAGCGUAUACGCGAGUCAUUGGGUGGAAAACCCAUAGGCGCAAUGAAAGUAAAGGUCUCUUUCUGAGKCUGAUAUGCGAYCUGUUGCAUUACGGUGUAGCGGAGCAGCAUAGCCCCAUCUCGACUGCUUGCAGUGGGGUGGCGGAAGAGCGUAUUCGCUGGUACCCGAAAGAUGGUGAACUAUGCCUGAGCAGGAUGAAGCCAGGGGAAACCCUGGUGGAGGUCCGAAGCGCUUCUGACGUGCAAAUCGAUCGUCUGACUUGGGUAUAGGGGCGAAAGACUAAUCGAACCAUC
rnacentral:rRNA from 1 species